UAGGCGAGGGGUUGCAUAACUUGAUUUAGAUUUUUAAGGAAUCUGUCUGGUUGUAGACAGAAACAAUAAGAGUGCACGGGUGAACACACAUCAAUGUUCUAUAAUGAGUUAUUUUAGUGAUCCAGAUGAUGUAUCACCAUGGUUUGGACCAUAAUGGUAGCAACUGGAGUUGAUAGAAUAAAGUGGUUGAAUUAUGGGUAUGUUUGGAAGAUACAGAUAUUGGGAAUUUCUAAUAUAGUGCCUGGAUGAUGCAACAAAAAGACUGGCCAAAAAAAUUCCAAAGUUCUUGAAUGGAGCAUAUGAAAUGACAAAGCUGACAUUAAUCAUAAUAGUUACAACAGCAGGAAGGAGAAUCCGGACGUGCCCUUGAAACUGCAAACUACACAGGUUGCCAACACAAGGGAGAAGACAAAUUUUGUGUGGGUGGUAACCCUACUCCUAGGUUUAGGUUAUGGGAGUAAAACAGUGAUAUAAAUUGCACCUACUUCCUGAGGUUGCUGUGAAGUUAGUGAAGAUCAAUCAGAAAUCUUUGACUAUCAAGACAAAAUUAAUGGAUAUUUGAUACAUGAAUGAUGACAAACAC